UGGGUGUGCUCAGAACAGGGGGCGUGAAGAAAUGGCUCCUCUGUUUACAACACACCCAACAAGAAUUAAAGGGCACAGAACUUGUGGCCUUCCUAUGAACAGAUACCCUACAUGU